UUGUGUUUUAUCACCAUCAGAUCCUUGUUUCAAAAAAGUCUGUCAACGAGGCGAGACAUGUGUCUUAGACAGAGACAGGAAUAGCAAAUGUGUCUGUCAGACUGACUGCGGGAUGCUGAAAUUCAACCGAGGACAGUACGAGGUGUGUAGCACUGCCAACGUCACCUAUCAGUCAGAGUGCCACUUAAAUAUCGACCACUGCCUGUGUAAGAGCAACGCCAGAGGGUGCAGCCAGCCGGGGGUCACGAAAAUACUGGUAGACUACUUUGGCGCCUGCAGAGAUUUCCCAAAAUGUACAGACAGCGAUGCCACACAGUUUCCUGGCCGUUUAAGGCUUG
rnacentral:sRNA from 1 species